UUGCACGCUGGCGGCAUGCCUUACACAUGCACGUCGAACGGCAGCACGGGUGCUUGCACCUGGUGGCGAGUGGCGAACGGGUGAGUAAUACAUCGGAACAUGUCCUGUAGUGGGGGAUAGCCCGGCGAAAGCCGGAUUAAUACCGCAUACGAUCCACGGAUGAAAGCGGGGGACCUUCGGGCCUCGCGCUAUAGGGUUGGCCGAUGGCUGAUUAGCUAGUUGGUGGGGUAAAGGCCUACCAAGGCGACGAUCAGUAGCUGGUCUGAGAGGACGACCAGCCACACUGGGACUGAGACACGGCCCAGACUCCUACGGGAGGCAGCAGUGGGGAAUUUUGGACAAUGGGCGAAAGCCUGAUCCAGCAAUGCCGCGUGUGUGAAGAAGGCCUUCGGGUUGUAAAGCACUUUUGUCCGGAAAGAAAUCCUUGACUCUAAUACAGUCGGGGGAUGACGGUACCGGAAGAAUAAGCACCGGCUAACUACGUG
rnacentral:rRNA from 1 species